CUCUUGCUUCACAUAAGAGGUCCAGCCUGCCCAGUGAAAUUUUAACGGCCGCGGUACCCUGACCGUGCGAAGGUAGCAUAAUCACUCGUUCUCCAAAUAAGGACUUGUAUCAAUGGCAUCACGAGGGUCACACUGUCUCCUCUCUCCAAUCAGUGAACCUAAUCUCCCCGUGAAGAAGCGGGGUUACACCCAUAAGACGAGAAGACCCCAUGGAGCUUUAAACCUUAAAGCAAUUAAAUAAAAUAUUUCCACAUAUACUUUAUAUAUGCAUGAAAGUUUUGGGUUGGGGUGACCGCGGAGCAAAAACUAACCUCCACAACGAAAAGAACUAAAUCUUUAUCUAAGAACUACUAUUCUAAGAAUCAAUACACUGACGAAUACUGAUCCGAUAAUCGAUCAAUGAACCAAGUUACCCUGGGGAUAACAGCGCAAUCUACUUCGAGAGCUCAUAUCGACAAGUAGGCUUACGACCUCGAUGUUGGAUCAGGGUAUCCCAGUGGUGCAGCCGCUACUAACGGUUCGUUUGUUCAACGAUUAAAACCC
rnacentral:rRNA from 1 species